rnacentral:rRNA from 1 species
CCCGUAGGCCGUAAGUGGAGAUUAGAGUUUGAUCCUGGCUCAGGGUGAAUGCUGGCGGCGUGGAUGAGGCAUGCAAGUCGAAUGGGUUUAGGCCCAUGGCAGACGAGGUAGGAACACGUAGGUACGUACCGGAGAGUCAGGAAUAACUUGUCGAAAGGCAGGAUAAUACUUGAUGGUCCCGAGAGGGUAAAGAUUUAUCGCUCUCUGAACGGCCUGCGUUCUACCAGCUUGUUGGUAAGGUAACGGCUUACCAAGGCUACGACGGAUAGGGGAGCUGAGAGGCUGACCCCCACCGAUGGAACUGCGACACGGUCCAUACUCCUACGGGAGGCUGCAGUCGAGAAUCUUCCGCAAUGGACGAAAGUCUGACGGAGCGACGCCGCGUGGUAGAUGAAGUCCUUAGGGACGUAAAUACCUUUUAUGAGGGAAGAAGUUUAUUGACGGUACCUCAUGAAUAAGGGGCUCCCAAUUCUGUGCCAGCAGGAGCGGUAAUACAGAAGCCCCGAGCAUUACCCGGAUUUACUGGGCGUAAAGGGUGUGUAGGUGGUGUGAUUAGUCGGGCGUUAAAUCCAGAGGCUCAACCUCUGGCUCGCGUUCGAAACGGUCACACUAGAGGGAGUGAGAGGUGUGUGGAACUCAAGGUGUAGGGGUGAAAUCCGUUGAUAUCUUGGGGAACACCAAAAGCGAAGGCAACACACUGGCACUCUCCUGACACUGAAACACGAAAGCGUGGGUAGCGAAUCGGAUUAGAUACCCGAGUAGUCCACGCCCUAAACGUUGUCCGCUAGCCAUGGGGAGUAUCGACCCUCUCCGUGGCGUAGCUAACGCAUUAAGCGGACCGCCUGGGUAGUACGAGCGCAAGCUUAAAACUCAAAGGAAUAGACGGGGGCUCGCACAAGCGGUGGAUCAUGGGGCUUAAUUCGUCGAUAAGCGAGGAACCUUACCAAGGCUAGAAAUCUUACUGCAUCCCUAGGGAAACUUAGGGAGCCUUCGAGGGUGUAAGACAGGUGAUGCAUGGCCGUCGUCAGUUCGUGGCUUGAGCUGUUCCCUUAAGUGGGGAAACGAACGCAACCCUCGUUGCCUGUUACAAGUGUCAGGCGAGACUGCUCCCUCACGGGAGAGGAAGGUGAGGAUGACGCCAGGUCAGCAUGUCCCUAGAUGCCUUGGGCUGCACCCGUGAUACAAUGGGUGGUACAAAGAGACGCAAUGGCGCGAGCCGGAGCAAAUCUUCAAAACCAUCCUCAAUUCGGAUUGAAGUCUGCAACUCGACUUCAUGAAGUUGGAAUCGCUAGUAAUCGUGAAUCAGCAACGUCACGGUGAAUACGUUCCCGAGCCUUGUACUCACCGCCCGUCAACUCAAGGGAGCCGGAAGUGCCCGAAGUUCGUGCUUGACACGACCUACGGUAAGUUUGGUGACAGGGAGUAAGUCGUAACAAGGUAACCAUCUCUAGAGGUCCCCGUACCAGUUCUGUAAAUUGAAAUCACUCUCGGUUACG